UUAUUAUUUAUGACUAUCACUACCUCAUUAAUACUGAAGCGUCAGUGUGUUAGCAGCAUGUUGUAGCUGCUGGAGGCAGAGCUAGUUUGAACUACUUUUACCGGGACACCACAUAUAUCGGAGGGGUGUUAGGGGUUAUUGCAUAUAUCUUAAAAUGAAACCCUGUAAAAAUUGUAGAGAGAAAAAUCACUAGUUGGUCAGGCCAAAAAGAUUGGAAACCACUGGUCUAAUCUUUAAGAAUGUGUUGCAUGUGCUCCUUAUAUUAUCUGUAGCCGGUGGGACCAAUGGGUGUAGCGAACUUUUAUUUUGAUUCACCUCUGUCACCUUUCUCCUGUGUGUACGUCACUAGUAGGGUCUUGGGCUGGGUUCCAAUUAGUUUAGUGCGAACAGGCAUAGAUAUAUACACCUUGGGUCCUUAUGCCGGUAGCCGUCCAUUGCUGAUUGUGGAGUGAAGCCGCGUUCUGGAGCGUUGUCUUCAGCGACACGGUAGCGUGUUAUAGAGCGGAUGCCAACAGGAACGAGUUGAGCGUCUUCCCUACCAACUGCACUCCAUAUCCCGUUUACAUGCAUCGCAACGUGUUAAGUAGCAGUCAGUGUAUCAGUGCGGUGGUUAUUGUGGUUGCUGGCAGCGUAUAGAUACCAGGUGCAUGACGUUCUCGGGUGCAGCUGUUUAGACAGCGAAGAAGCUAUUGAAGCACACAGCUAUACAGCAUUGUUAGCUGCUGUUCUCUUCCAGUUAGUUAUAGGUCCGGGUGCUGCUUUUAGAAUAUAUGCAUCUCUGUUUUCCCCUCUAGCCUGGGGGCCUAGGUGUGUAUAUGUGGUUAAGAGGAUAUUGUGAGCCACAGGUUAGAGGGUUUAUUUUUGUUUGUUUCAUUAAUUUGUUAUCUGUUUCCCCUGUGUCAUCUCCCCUGCCGCAAUAGCCUGGGUAUCGUUUGGGGCCCUAGCCUAGAUUACAGGUUGGCCAGGUUUUCCUCUAAGAUAGUUUCUCACCUUUGAUAAGAUGUGCAGUGUAAUGCAGUGAAGUGUGAACCCCUUUUUCUUAAUGUGCCCAAGUGGUGCGCUUGCGGUGGUGUGGCCAAUGAGCUAGUAGUGUGUGCUCUCCUUCACGUGUGGUAUUGGAGGCAGGCCCCUGUUAGUCUGUGUGGUCAGUGGCUCCGGAUUCUUACCCAACGGCUGGGGCAUUCCCCUGAAGUCCAUUUAAUGUAUUUAUGUAUUUAUUUAUUUAUUGACAACCAAAGUGACACCUUGUUUUAACGGGAAACAAAAUUAAACCUAAU